rnacentral:tRNA from 1 species
AUGGUAAUAGUUUAAUGAAAAACAAUGCUUUUGUAAAGCAAAAUAUAUCUAUUGUGAUUUACUAUU